rnacentral:rRNA from 1 species
CCUACGGGUGGCAGCAGUGAGGAAUAUUGGUCAAUGGACGGAAGUCUGAACCAGCCAUGCCGCGUGCAGGAAGACGGCUCUAUGGGUUGUAAACUGCUUUUGUACAAGGGUAAACCUUGAUACGUGUAUUCCGCUGAGCGUACUGUACGAAUAAGGAUCGGCUAACUCCGUGCCAGCAGCCGCGGUAAUACGGAGGAUCCAAGCGUUAUCCGGAUUUAUUGGGUUGAAAGGGUGCGUAGGCGGAUUGAUAAGUUAGAGGUGAAAUGUCCGAGCUUAACUCGGGAACUGCAUUUAAUACUGUUGAUCUAGAGAGUAGAUGCGGUAGGCGGAAUGUAUGGUGUAGCGGUGAAAUGCUUAGAGAUAAGACAGAACACCGAUGGCGAAGGCAGAUUACCAAGCUAUAUCUGACGUUGAGGCACGAAAGCGUGGGGAGCAAACAGGAUUAGAUACCCGUGUAGUC